rnacentral:tRNA from 1 species
GGGCGGGUACCGAAGUGGUCAAACGGGGCUGACUGUAAAUCAGCUGGCUACGCCUUCAGAGGUUCGAAUCCUCUCCCGCCCA